rnacentral:rRNA from 1 species
UACGUAGGGGGCUAGCGUUGUCCGGAAUCAUUGGGCGUAAAGCGCGUGUAGGCGGUCCGGUAAGUCCGCUGUGAAAGUCGGGGGCUCAACCCUCGAAAGCCGGUGGAAACUGUCGGGCUAGAGUGCGGAAGAGGCGAGUGGAAUUCCUGGUGUAGCGGUGAAAUGCGCAGAUAUCUUGGGGAACACCAGUGGCGAAGGCGGUUGCCUGGCCUGAACUGACGCUGAGACGCGAAAGCGUGGGGAGCGAACCGGAUUAGACUACCC